UAAAGCUCACUCCAAAAUUCUUUGAUUUUCUCUCAUAUUUGUCUAAAAUUGUGUGUUUCAAUAAUUUUAUAGUUUACAAUGGAAAAAGAAAAGAAAAAAAGAAAAAGAAAAAAGAACACACACAAAAUGCGAAAUCAUGUUAGUUAUAUCGUAAACGUCGGCAUGCAAUGGAAGUAGCAAAAAAAUGGUGGGAAGAAGGAGAGCAACUAUGGAGAGUGAGAUGUUACCGGUUCUCAGAAGUAGCGUCGUCAAAUUUCUAAUUCAAUCUGCUCAUGAUCUCGAAGUGCCUCCGAUCGUCAAGUAUUCUGCGUUGUCGCUUUUCGCUGAUAGAUUCUACUCAUCCAUUUCUGGGUUCACUAGCAGCAAUGACUCAAGCUAUUGGCUUCUGCAACCAAUCACAGAAAGCAAUUUGCAGUUAUUUGCACUUGUUUCCCUAUGGAUAUCUAGCAAAUUGCACACUUCUCAUCCUCCUUCUAUAAAACUUCUGAAGGCUUUUGGGGAUAAGAUGAUCAAGGAACAACAUUUUAUGACACGGGAUUUCUUGGAUGCAGAGGUCAUAUUCAUGCGGAUAUUAAAUUUCGAGAUUGGUACUGCAAAUAUCACUUUUAUAUUUCUCGAGGAACUUCUUAAUCAAUUCAAGGAAGUAGCGAAAGUUGGAGAGCUUGUGAACUGGGAAGCAUGCAUGGAUGUAAUGGAUCUUCUUUAUGAAAAAGAGGAGACAACUGUGUUUUACAGGUCUCCUUGUUCUUCAGCUGCUGCCAUCUUGAUUGCUUCGUAUCUCAUUACUGUUCCAGUUCAAGAAUGGGAAUUUCCCAUUGUUCCCUGGGUUGUAGCUAUGCGGAGUAAUUUGAUGGAACACCUCUUUGAAUCAAUUUCCACCUGUUUCUUCUUUCUUCUACUGUACUGAUGUAUGAUAGGGGGUCUAUCAUAAUCUCAACGCAUUUAGCAAGUUCCAUCAAUUUCACUAUGCGGUACGCGUCUUUCCAUAUCAAAUCACACAAGAAGCAAGUGACAUCUAUCACAUACUAGAUCACACAUGUAUGAGACAUCCUACACAAUAUCACACAGCAUGAAUUGGGCAUUCUCUUAUAGAACACAUAGCAAGAAUAAAGCAUUUUAUCCAAUGGAUCACACAACAAGGAUAAGGUAUCUCAUACUAGACUACACAACAAGUAUGAUGCAUUCUCAUCGCAUAAGUACAUUUUGUAACAGCAUUCAAAGAAGACGAUAUUGUCAAACAAGCCAGAGACAUUCUACUUCACGUGUUAGAGACUGAUUGCUAGAGAAGUGCAAAAGGAUUGAAAACAGAACAAUUCUUAAACAUAGAUGUAAGUUCUGUUGUUAAUUUUGUGGUAUCUUUUUGGCUUUAUUUCUAGACGUUUCUGUCAGGGAGAGGAACUGAAUUGCAUUGUAGCUUUGGAAGCCAUACAAAGUAGAGAAAUGGUAUCAGCCUACCAAGAUGAUCAAAGUCUUUAAGUAAAGCUUUCGAUGAAAUUUUAUAUUUAUCCGUCUUUA